UAGGGAAUCUUCGGCAAUGGACGGAAGUCUGACCGAGCAACGCCGCGUGAGUGAAGAAGAUUUUCGGAUCGUAAAGCUCUGUUGUAAGAGAAGAACGAGUGUGAGAGUGGAAAGUUCACACUGUGACGGUAUCUUACCAGAAAGGGACGGCUAACUACGUGCCAGCAGCCGCGGUAAUACGUAGGUCCCGAGCGUUGUCCGGAUUUAUUGGGCGUAAAGCGAGCGCAGGCGGUUAGAUAAGUCUGAAGUUAAAGGCUGUGGCUUAACCAUAGUAGGCUUUGGAAACUGUUUAACUUGAGUGCAAGAGGGGAGAGUGGAAUUCCAUGUGUAGCGGUGAAAUGCGUAGAUAUAUGGAGGAACACCGGUGGCGAAAGCGGCUCUCUGGCUUGUAACUGACGCUGAGGCUCGAAAGCGUGGGGAGCAAACAGGAUUAGAUACCCUGGUAGUCCACGCUGUAAACGAUGAGUGCUAGGUGUUAGACCCUUUCCGGGGUUUAGUGCCGUAGCUAACGCAUUAAGCACUCCGCCUGGGGAGUACGACCGCAAGGUUG
rnacentral:rRNA from 1 species